AUUUAGAUAGCUUAAUUUAGAGCGUGAUAUUGAAGAUAUCAGGGUAAUUUUAUAUUUCUAAGUA
rnacentral:tRNA from 1 species